CCUCCCCUCCCCCUGUCUCUCCUGCCUUCCCAAACUGCGCCACAACUGGCUCACGCAAUGGACAAAACGGAAGGGAAUCCCGAAAGGGCUGUAACGUGGCGUCCGUACAAUUUGAUCUCUGCCAAUUUCUAAUAGAGGUGUGCAUCACUGUAUUUAGAAUCUGUCCGGAAAACAUCCAGGUUCAUAUCCACGCCUUCAGCCUUCUUUAUCUAUGCAGAGGCUGGUUCUCUACACGAGGUAAUCUUUACAGGUUAACCUGGAGUAAGUCAUAGGCUUACCCAGCUUUCAGCUAACUUUGCCAUGAUCCUUCCUUACUUCCUCAACCCUAAGGAAUGAGCCUGAGUGUGAUGUCUAAGGGCUUGCUCUCUGGACUCAUGUACUUCCUUAGUUUUAAAGAUGGGUUUUCAUCCUCCGUUUCUCAGUAAUUUAUAAUGUUUGGU
rnacentral:lncRNA from 1 species